ACACGAGAAGGGAGGUGGUUCGGCAGAUGAUGAAGUACCGGACGCGUGAGGUGACUGCGGGCUAGUGGUCCGCCGUCGCGCUUGAGCGCAAUGCCGGACCCGGGUGCCUAGGACGCAUCCAGCCGGCCCUUAUCCCAAGCAGUUCACCCGACCCGCGGUCCGCCGGGACGUCCGACCGGCUCCCCUCCAGGGGAAUGGGCCGCGGGUCGUCUGCU
rnacentral:sRNA from 1 species